UACGAAGGGUGCAAGCGUUACUCGGAAUUACUGGGCGUAAAGCGUGCGUAGGUGGUGAGUUAAGUCUGAUGUGAAAUCCCCGGGCUCAACCUGGGAAUGGCAUUGGAUACUGGCUCGCUAGAGUACGGUAGAGGGUGGUGGAAUUCCCGGUGUAGCAGUGAAAUGCGUAGAGAUCGGGAGGAACAUCCGUGGCGAAGGCGGCCAGCUGGGCCAGGUCCGACACUGAGGCGCGAAAGCGUGGGAGCAAACAGG
rnacentral:rRNA from 1 species